GCAAACUUGGUCAUUUAGAGGAAGUAAAAGUCGUAACAAGGUUUCCGUAGGUGAACCUGCGGAAGGAUCAUCAUUGAAUUUUUGUGAGCUAUUCUUCUCUGGCUUGGUUUUCCGCCCGGUUGUGGGAAGAGUAGACACAAAAAAAAACAAAUCUCCGUCAACCUGUUGCACUUGUAUGAAUGACGUGGGUUGCGUUUUCGGGGAGAGGAAGGUGAUGGUGAUGGGUGGUGGCUGCAUCGGCGUUAUUGUGUGCGCCGUGCAGUCGCCGUGUCGUCGUCGUCCGUCUUGCUCUUCACGACAGCGGCCCACCGUUUUUAUUACAUUUACACUGGAAAUGUUCCGCAUCAUAUUUUUUUCAAAUCAAAGAAACACAUACAAAAUAUACAACUUUCAACAAUGGAUCUCUUGGCUCUCGCAUCGAUGAAGAACGCAGC
rnacentral:misc_RNA from 1 species